UGCCUUUUCAACAUGGAUGGCUCCUCCCGCUGCCGCUGCCGCUCCAGGAGACAGCAUUACAGAGCAUCAGUUAGGUGCAGAGACUGGGCAGUGCACCCGUGUGCAAAGACAGGAGACACGAAUCUUCCCUGAAGGAGUGACAGUCUAGGGAGGAAGGCAGACUGCAGGUUCCCAUGCAGGAAUGAAAGACAUGGAAGGGAAGAGGGGGGCCAGCUCCCUGAGUCCUGUGUCCACCAGCUGCUGCUAAAUACCUCUGAGAAACUCUGCUUCUAUCUAAGGGGACCUACUUCUCUCGGGAAUCUCAAUACUUGGAACAAGAACCUCCUAGACGGACCCUUUGGCAUAAUGAAUUGGACCAACUGUAGGUUCCAGGACUAGAGAGCCAGCAAUGCCUCCAUGAACAAUCUCACCCAAUUACUCUGCUCAGGAAACGAGGUAACUGAUGGACAGCCGAGGCAGCCCCUUAGGCGGCUUAGGCCUCCCCUGUGGAGCAUCCCUGAGGCGGACUCCGGCCAGCCCGAGUGACGCGAUCCAAAGAGCACUCCCGGGUAGGAAAUUGCCCCGGUGGAAUGCCUCACCAGAGCAGCGUGUAGCAGUUCCCUGUGGAGGAUUAACACAGUGGCUGAACACCGGGAAGGAACUGGCACUUGGAGUCCGGACAUCUGAAACUUGAGAACAUCACCACCCUGAAGCCAGAGACUAACACUGCAGGACUCAGCAGGACUAUUUAAGAAACAACUGAGGCAUCAGACCAACUUUCCCCACAAGUCCUCGGAUCUUUCCUGCCAUGCUGAUGCCAUAUAUUCCAACGUGAUCAACCUGGCUCCCCAGAAGGAGGACGACUUUGCUGUCUACACCAACAUGCCCCCUUUUCAUCACCCCAGGAGGACAUUGCCAGACCAAGUGGAAUAUGUCUCCAUUGUAUUCCACUGAUGGGAAGCUAAUGAGAUGCUCAGAGUGGGGGUCAGACCUGGCCCCAGCUGAAUCUUGGCAUACCCUUUGCUUUAGAUUUAUGUGUGUGUUU
rnacentral:lncRNA from 1 species